CUCCUGUAACCAAAGAGCUGGGUGAUGCAGCAUUGCUGACUGCUUUAAGUCCUGCAGAGCAUGUUGAUAGUCCACCCUUGCCAAGCAAGUAAUCUGCAAGGGAUAGACAGUGUAAGCUGUCCAUUCCUGGCAGGUAAUGACCUGGAUACGGGCUCAGGCUGGCAACAGAGCAGUCCAAACUAGGCUCUACUUGCAGUGGCAGGAUA
rnacentral:SRP_RNA from 1 species